UACGGAGAGUGCUAGCGUUGCUCGGAAUUACUGGGCGUAAAGGGCGCGUAGGCGGCUUUGAAAGUUGGAUGUGAAAUCCUGCGGCUCAACCGCAGAACUGCAUUCAAAACUUCAAGGCUAGAGUACGGAAGAGGAGGGCGGAAUUCCCAGUGUAGGGGUGAAAUCCGUAGAUAUUGGGAGGAACACCAGUGGCGAAGGCGGCCCUCUGGGACGAUACUGACGCUGAGGCGCGAAAGCGUGGGGAGCAAACAGGAUUAGAGACCCUGGUAGUCCACGCUGUAAACGGUGGGUGCUUGGUGUCGCGGAAUUUUAAUUCUGCGGUGCCGAAGCUAACGCGUUAAGCACCCCGCCUGGGGACUACGGCCGCAAGGUUA
rnacentral:rRNA from 1 species